AUUGAACGCUGGCGGCAUGCUUUACACAUGCAAGUCGAACGGUAACAGGCCUUCGGGUGCUGACGAGUGGCGCACGGGUGCGUAAUGCAUCGGAACGUGCCCAGAGGUGGGGGAUAACGCAGCGAAAGCUGUGCUAAUACCGCAUGUGAUCUGAGGAUGAAAGCGGGGGACCAGGCAGCAAUGUUUGGCCUCGCGCCUUUGGAGCGGCCGAUGUCAGAUUAGGUAGUUGGUGGGGUAAAGGCCUACCAAGCCGACGAUCUGUAGCUGGUCUGAGAGGACGACCAGCCACACUGGGACUGAGACACGGCCCAGACUCCUACGGGAGGCAGCAGUGGGGAAUUUUGGACAAAGGGCGCAAGCCUGAUCCAGCAAUGCCGCGUGCGGGAAGAAGGCCUUCGGGUUGUAAAACGCUUUUGUACGGAACGAAAAGGCUCUGGCUAAUACCUGGGGCUGAUGACGGUACCGUAAGAAUAAGCACCGGCUAACUACGUG
rnacentral:rRNA from 1 species